CCGCCCGCAGCGACGUCCCGACCGGAGCCGCGGGGACGGGGGACGGCAGGGGUCCUCGCGCCGGGGCUGCCCGCGCGCCGCCGGACCCGCCCUCCGCUGCGGGGCCGGGGCGGGCGCGGACGGCGCAGGCCUCCUCCUCCUCCGCCGCCGCCGCCGCCGCCGCCGCCGCGCGGAGACGACGCCCGAGAAGCCCGUCGCUCGGCCCGAGGCCCGGCCCCUCAACCCCGGUGCGGCCUCACCGCGUCCCUGAGCAGGCGCCGCGGGGACAGUCCGGCCCGGCGGCCAUCAAGGCGCCACAGACCGAAGGACCCCAGAAGCAUGCGCUUCCGCUUCCGGGGCGGGCCGAGGGCCGCGGAGGCGGAAGUGACUCGGCGGCUCUGGGAAGCAUGGGCUCCGGCGUUGCCUAGGGCGGCCCGGGCGAGCGAUAAGCAAGCAAUCCUUGGGUUGGCAUCACAGGCUCAGUCUUUCGUGUUCCAGUUGCUCUGGUUUGUCUCUAUGUGCACCUGUGACCUAGAUGGUUAUGCCAGGCAUUCAGGGCCAUGA
rnacentral:lncRNA from 1 species